AGCGAACGCUGGCGGCAGGCUUAACACAUGCAAGUCGAGCGCCCCGCAAGGGGAGCGGCAGACGGGAGAGUAACACGUGGGAACAUACCUUUUGGUUCGGAACAACUGAGGGAAACUUCAGCUAAUACCGGAUAAGCCCUUACGGGGAAAGAUUUAUCGCCGAAAGAUUGGCCCGCGUCUGAUUAGCUAGUUGGUGAGGUAACGGCUCACCAAGGCGACGAUCAGUAGCUGGUCUGAGGGGAUGAUCAGCCUCACUGGGACUGAGACACGGCCCAGACUCCUACGGGAAGCAGCAGUGGGGAAUAUUGGACAAUGGGGGCAACCCUGAUCCAGCCAUGCCGCGUGAGUGAUGAAGGCCUUAGGGUUGUAAAGCUCUUUUGCCCGGGAAGAUAAUGACGGUACCGGGAGAAUAAGCCCCGGCUAACUUCGUG
rnacentral:rRNA from 1 species